CUUUUUUAAUGGAUAGAAUCUCUUAUUUUGACUGUGUAUUUACAGCAUGCUUGGUACUACAACUUGAUGACAUGAUGGAUUCCAGAAGAUCACCUUCUAGAAAGUGUGAAUGCACUUGAAUUGAGAAACCAGGGUUGGUUCAGGGAAAGAUACCUAAAUGAGGAAGGAGGCAAAGGAGAUAACCUGAAAUCUGAAGUCUGGAGGCCACUCAGUGUAGGGCAUCCUUCUUUGUUUUGCAAAUGAGCUAAGAACUAAUGAUGUUCCUGAAACUGUGCUGGGGGAGAGAACUGAUGUAAGAUGGACCAGUUCCCAGGAUUCUGGCACCAGCUAGGAUUACCUGGCUGUAGCAAUCUCCCUCCUCCCCCACGAAAACUCCUGGGGAAUAAAUGGUGCUCUAGAUAUACACCAUGCUUCUCCAGAGGCUCUGUGGGCCCGGGGAAUCACAGCCUGAGCAGCCAUUCACCUUGGCUGGUGAGCUUCCUGGUCACUGCAGGGACAGCUGGGCGAGCUGCCCCUAUGCAUCUCGCAUCUCAGGGAUGCACCACGGCUCCGGAGUUCACAGACCAGCUCCCUCCGUCUGUUGCUGGAGCAUGAAGAGGAAGAACUGUUGCUUCUUCACCACUUUUCCUAUUGGAGAAACUGCCAAAUGGCUCCCAGCCAAGCCGCUUGGUUUCUCUGACCUUGGCCCUGGUGUGUACUGACGUUGUCGGAGACAUAGCUGCCCCUCAAGCCCCCACCCAUGCCUGGGACGUCGUGGAUAUUCGCUCAGG